AGUGAACGCUGGCGGCAGGCCUAACACAUGCAAGUCGAACGGCAGCACAAGAAAGCUUGCUCUCUGGCUGGCGCGUGGCGGGCGGGUGAGACAUGUAUCGGACUCUGCCCUUUUGUGGGGGAUAACUUCGGGAAACGGGGCCUAAUACCGCAUACGUCCUACGGGUCAAAGCUGGAGAUCUUCGGACCUUCUGCCGAUGGCUGAGCCCUGGCUGGAUUAGCUAGUUGGAGAGGUAAAGGCCCACCAAGGCGACGAGCCGUAGCUGGUCUGAGAGGGUGAACGGCCACACUGGAACUGAGACACGGUCCAGACUCCUACGGGAGGCAGCAGUAGGGAAUAUUCCGCAAUGGGCGAAAGCCUGACGGAGCAACGCCGCGUGAGUGAAGAAGGUCUUCGGAUCGUAAAACUCUGUUAUUAGGGAAGAACAAAUGUGUAAGUAAAUAUGCGCGCCUUGACGGUACCUAAUCAGAAAGCCACGGCUAACUACGUG
rnacentral:rRNA from 1 species